rnacentral:misc_RNA from 1 species
CAACCCUCAAGCCUCCGGCUUGGUGUUGGGGCCCUGCGGCUGCCGCAGGCCCCGAAAUGGAGUGGCGGGCUCGCGGCGAACUCCGAGCGUAGUAGAAUCCUAUCUCGCUAGGGAGGCGCGGCGCGCUCCGGCCGUUAAGGGAACGUGUUUUAACCCAA